rnacentral:misc_RNA from 1 species
GAUGAAGAACGCAGCGAAAUGCGAUACGUAAUGUGAAUUGCAGAAUUCAGUGAAUCAUCGAGUCUUUGAACGCACAUUGCGCCUCCUGGUAUUCCGGGGGGCAUGCCUGUCCGAGCGUCAUUGCUGCCCUCAAGCACGGCUUGUGUGUUGGGCCUCCGUCCUCCUCCCGGGGGACGGGCCCGAAAGGCAGCGGCGGCACCGCGUCCGGUCCUCGAGCGUAUGGGGCUUCGUCACCCGCUCUUGUAGGCCCGGCCGGCGCUUGCCUACACAUCAAUCUUUUUUCCAGGUUGACCUCGGAUCAGGUAGGGAUACCCGCUGAACUUAAGCAUAUCAAUAAGCGGAGGA